GCGAAAGCGUCUCCCAAGGAUGUUUUCUUCAAUCAAGAACGAAAGUUAGGGGAUCGAAGACCAUUAGACACGGUUUUAGUCCUAACCAUAAACUAUGCCGACUAGGGAUCGGCGGAUGUUAAUUUUUCGACUCCGCCGGCACCUUGUGUGAAAACAAAGUUUUUGGGUUCUGGGGGAAGUAUGGUCGCAAGGCUGAAACUU
rnacentral:rRNA from 14 species